rfam:Lupinus angustifolius cultivar Tanjil chromosome LG05, whole genome shotgun sequence.
CUCUAGUAGAGUCCCAUCCAGGAUAAAAGGAACUACUAUCUCGAUCACCCCAUCUUUAGCUAAGAGAGAGGAGGUCAAGUAGUCAGGAUAAUCAGUAAUGAUACUUGAAGGAAGACGAAAACAUAAGCAUCAGCUAACUCUGUGUCAGCAGCAGUGGUAAGACAGAGGAUGGAAGCAUUAUCCGGAAUGAUUGGCGUAAAGCGUCUAUAUGUGGCUUUUUAUGUUUGCCGUCAAAUCCUAGGGCUCAACCCUAGAAGGCGGUGGAAAAUACCAAGCUGGAGUAGGGUACGGGAUGAGGGAAUUUCCGAUGGAGCGGUGAAAUGCAUAGAGAUCAGAAAGAACACCAACGGUUAAAGCACUCUGCUAGGCCGAUAAACCCUAAACCCCCAAACAACCCCCUAAACCCUAACGAACAAGAUGAUUUUAUUU